UACGGGAGGAGCAGUGGGGAAUAUUGCACAAUGGGCGAAAGCCUGAUGCAGCUAUGCCGCGUGUAUGAAGAAGGCCUUAGGGUUGUAAAGUACUUUCAUCGGGGAGGAAAAAACAAAACUAAUAAUUUUAUUUCUUGACGUUACCCGAAAAAGAAGCACCGGCUAACUCCGUGCCAGCAGCCGCGGUAAUACGGAGGGUGCUAGCGUUAAUCAGAAUUACUGGGCGUAAAGAGCACGUAGGUGGUUUUUUUAAGUCAGAUGUGAAAUCCCUGGGCUUAACCUAGGAACUGCAUUUGAAACUGAAAUACUAGAGUAUCGUAGAGGGAGGUAGAAUUCUAGGUGUAGCGGUGAAAUGCGUAGAUAUCUGGAGGAAUACCUGUGGCGAAAGCGGCCUCCUAAACGAAUACUGACACUGAGGGUGCGAAAGCGUGGGGAGGCAAACAGGGAUUAGAUACC
rnacentral:rRNA from 1 species